rnacentral:rRNA from 1 species
GACGAACGCUGGCGGCGUGCCUAAUACAUGCAAGUCGAACGCAGUGGGGACGGGUGAGUAACACGUGGGUAACCUCCCAUCAGAGGGGAUAACACCUGGAAACAGGUGCUAAACCGAUACUGAUGGAUGGACUCGCGGUGCAUUAGCUAGUUGGUGAGGUAAAGGCUCACCAGGUCGACGAUACAUAGCCGACCUGAGAGGGUGAGAGGCCACACUGUGACUGUGACACGGCCCCGACUCCUGCGGUAGGCAGCAUGAGGGAAGCUUCGGCAAUGGACCGAAGUCUGACCUGGCAACGCCGCGUGAGUGAAGAAGGUUUUCGGAUCGUAAAUCUCUGUUGUUAGAGAAGCGGUAACUAACCAGAAAGGGACGGCUAACUACGUGCCAGCAGCCGCGGUAAUAC